rnacentral:rRNA from 2 species
UACGUAGGGUGCGAGCGUUGUCCGGAUUUAUUGGGCGUAAAGAGCUUGUAGGCGGUUUGUCGCGUCGGGAGUGAAAACUCAGGGCUUAACUCUGAGCUUGCUUUCGAUACGGGCUGACUUGAGGAAGGUAGGGGAGAAUGGAAUUCCUGGUGAAGCGGUGGAAUGCGUAGAUAUCAGGAGGAACACCGGUGGCGAAGGCGGUUCUCUGGACCUUUCCUGACGCUGAGAAGCGAAAGCGUGGGGAGCAAACAGG